AGUGAACGCUGGCGGCGUGCCUAAUACAUGCAAGUCGAACGAUGAAGCCUAGCUUGCUAGGCGGAUUAGUGGCGCACGGGUGAGUAAUGCAUAGAUCACAUGCCCUUUAGUUUGGGAUAGCCACUAGAAAUGGUGAUUAAUACCAAAUACUACCCUACGGGGGA
rnacentral:rRNA from 1 species